rnacentral:rRNA from 1 species
GUGGGGAAUCUUGCGCAAUGGGCGAAAGCCUGACGCAGCCAUGCCGCGUGAAUGAUGAAGGUCUUAGGAUUGUAAAAUUCUUUCACCGGGGACGAUAAUGACGGUACCCGGAGAAGAAGCUCCGGCUAACUUCGUGCCAGCAGCCGCGGUAAUACGAAGGGGGCUAGCGUUGCUCGGAAUUACUGGGCGUAAAGGGCGCGUAGGCGGACAGUUUAGUCAGAGGUGAAAGCACAGGGCUCAACCUUGGAAUUGCCUUUGAUACUGGCUGUCUUGAGUACUGGAGAGGUGAGUGGAUCUCCGAGUGUAGAGGUGAAAUUCGUAGAUAUUCGGAAGAACACCAGUGGCGAAGGCGACUCACUGGCCCGUUACUGACGCUGAGGUGCGAAAGCGUGGGGAGCAAACAGGAUUAGAAACCCCAGUAGUCC